AUUGUGCCUGUCUUAAAAAUUAAGGGUCUGUGGCAACCCUGCAUCAAACAAGUCUGCAGGUACCAUUUUUCCAACAGUAUUUGCUCACUUCGUGUCUCUGUGUCACAUUUUGGUAAUUCUUCCAAUAUUUUAAACUUUUUCAUUAUUUUAUUUGUUAGGCUAAUCAGCGAUCUUUGAUGUUAUGAUUGUAAUUUUGGGGGGUGCCACAGACCACAGCUAUAUAAGACUACAAACUUAAUCGACAAAUGUGUUCUGACUGCUCCACCAAUUGGCAGUCCCCCUGUCCUCUCUCCCUCUCCUCAGGCCUCCGUGUUCCUGAGAUACAAUAAUAUUGAAAUCAGGGCAAUUAAUAAUCCUACAGUGGCUUCUAAGUGUUAAUUAAAAGGGAGAGUUGCACAUCUCUCACUUUAAAUGAAAGCCAGAAAUGAUUAGCUUAGUGAGGAAAGCAUGUGGAAAGCUGAGAAAGGCUGAACUUUAGGCCUCUUGUACCGGUCAGCCAAGUUGUGAAUGCAAAGGAAAAGAACUUGAAGAAAAUUGAAGGUCCUGCUCCAGUAAACACACAGAUGGUAAGAAAGUGAAGCCCUUAUUGCUGAUAUGGAGAAAGUUUGAGUGGUCUGGAUGCAAGCCCAAACCAGCCACAACAUUCUCAUAAGCCAGUGAUUUUCAACUGAUGUGCUACAAGAAUAUUUAAAACGUGACACCUGACUAUUUAGUCACUGACCUC